rnacentral:lncRNA from 1 species
CAGCUGUUCUCAAAACAAGUAAAAGGUGUUUUGCAUGCAGCCUGAGAAGGGACUGGCAGUGUGACCUCUAACACUCUCCUGGUUAGGGUUAGGGUUAGCACACAUGGGAUGCUCAGGAUUUACUACAAAAAAGAAGGAAAACUAGCUUAAAAAAAAAACAUGGAAGAUUGACACUGCUAUUUCUACCAGGCCUGAGAGCCUCUGCAGGCUUUAAAAUUCCUUCUGUGGG